GGUUAAGCGACUAAGCGUACACGGUGGAUGCCCUGGCAGUCAGAGGCGAUGAAGGACGUGCUAAUCUGCGAUAAGCGUCGGUAAGGUGAUAUGAACCGUUAUAACCGGCGAUUUCCGAAUGGGGAAACCCAGUGUGUUUCGACACACUAUCAUUAACUGAAUCCAUAGGUUAAUGAGGCGAACCGGGGGAACUGAAACAUCUAAGUACCCCGAGGAAAAGAAAUCAACCGAGAUUCCCCCAGUAGCGGCGAGCGAACGGGGAGCAGCCCAGAGCCUGAAUCAGUGUGUGUGUUAGUGGAAGCGUCUGGAAAGGCGCGCGAUACAGGGUGACAGCCCCGUACACAAAAAUGCACAUGCUGUGAGCUCGAUGAGUAGGGCGGGACACGUGGUAUCCUGUCUGAAUAUGGGGGGACCAUCCUCCAAGGCUAAAUACUCCUGACUGACCGAUAGUGAACCAGUACCGUGAGGGAAAGGCGAAAAGAACCCCGGCGAGGGGAGUGAAAAAGAACCUGAAACCGUGUACGUACAAGCAGUGGGAGCACGCUUAGGCGUGUGACUGCGUACCUUUUGUAUAAUGGGUCAGCGACUUAUAUUCUGUAGCAAGGUUAACCGAAUAGGGGAGCCGAAGGGAAACCGAGUCUUAACUGGGCGUUAAGUUGCAGGGUAUAGACCCGAAACCCGGUGAUCUAGCCAUGGGCAGGUUGAAGGUUGGGUAACACUAACUGGAGGACCGAACCGACUAAUGUUGAAAAAUUAGCGGAUGACUUGUGGCUGGGGGUGAAAGGCCAAUCAAACCGGGAGAUAGCUGGUUCUCCCCGAAAGCUAUUUAGGUAGCGCCUCGUGAAUUCAUCUCCGGGGGUAGAGCACUGUUUCGGCAAGGGGGUCAUCCCGACUUACCAACCCGAUGCAAACUGCGAAUACCGGAGAAUGUUAUCACGGGAGACACACGGCGGGUGCUAACGUCCGUCGUGAAGAGGGAAACAACCCAGACCGCCAGCUAAGGUCCCAAAGUCAUGGUUAAGUGGGAAACGAUGUGGGAAGGCCCAGACAGCCAGGAUGUUGGCUUAGAAGCAGCCAUCAUUUAAAGAAAGCGUAAUAGCUCACUGGUCGAGUCGGCCUGCGCGGAAGAUGUAACGGGGCUAAACCAUGCACCGAAGCUGCGGCAGCGACGCUGAUGCGUUGUUGGGUAGGGGAGCGUUCUGUAAGCCUGCGAAGGUGUGCUGUGAGGCAUGCUGGAGGUAUCAGAAGUGCGAAUGCUGACAUAAGUAACGAUAAAGCGGGUGAAAAGCCCGCUCGCCGGAAGACCAAGGGUUCCUGUCCAACGUUAAUCGGGGCAGGGUGAGUCGACCCCUAAGGCGAGGCCGAAAGGCGUAGUCGAUGGGAAACAGGUUAAUAUUCCUGUACUUGGUGUUACUGCGAAGGGGGGACGGAGAAGGCUAUGUUGGCCGGGCGACGGUUGUCCCGGUUUAAGCGUGUAGGCUGGUUUUCCAGGCAAAUCCGGAAAAUCAAGGCUGAGGCGUGAUGACGAGGCACUACGGUGCUGAAGCAACAAAUGCCCUGCUUCCAGGAAAAGCCUCUAAGCAUCAGGUAACAUCAAAUCGUACCCCAAACCGACACAGGUGGUCAGGUAGAGAAUACCAAGGCGCUUGAGAGAACUCGGGUGAAGGAACUAGGCAAAAUGGUGCCGUAACUUCGGGAGAAGGCACGCUGAUAUGUAGG
rnacentral:rRNA from 1 species